GACGAACGCUGGCGGCGUGCUUAACACAUGCAAGUCGAACGGAAAGGCCCUGCUUUUGUGGGGUGCUCGAGUGGCGAACGGGUGAGUAACACGUGAGUAACCUGCCCUUGACUUUGGGAUAACUUCAGGAAACUGGGGCUAAUACCGGAUAGGAGCUCCUGCUGCAUGGGGGGGGUUGGAAAGUUUCGGCGGUUGGGGAUGGACUCGCAGGUUAUCAGCUUGUUGGUGGGGUAGUGGCUUACCAAGGCUUUGACGGGUAGCCGGCCUGAGAGGGUGACCGGCCACCUUGCGACUGCGGUACGGCCCAGAAUCCUACGUGAGGCAGCAGUGGGGAAUAUUGCACAAUGGGCCGAAGCCUGAUGCAGCAACGCCGCGUGCGGAAUGACGGCCUACGGGUUGUAAACCGAUUUCGACUGUGACGAAGCGUGAGUGACGGUACUGGGUAAAGAAGCCCCGGCUAACUACGUG
rnacentral:rRNA from 1 species